rnacentral:rRNA from 1 species
UACGUAGGGGGCGAGCGUUGUCCGGAUUUAUUGGGCGUAAAGAGCGUGUAGGCGGCCAGACAAGUCUGCUGUGAAAACUCGAGGCUCAACCUCGAGCUGUCGGUGGAAACUGUCUGGCUAGAGUCCGGAAGAGGAGAGUGGAAUUCCUGGUGUAGCGGUGAAAUGCGCAGAUAUCAGGAAGAACACCUAUGGCGAAGGCAGCUCUCUGGGACGGUACUGACGCUGAGACGCGAAAGCGUGGGGAGCGAACAGG